AUGGGUGAGGGCAACUUUAUCUAGUCAAUUGAAAAUUUGUCAUUUUAAGAAUUAGAACAUUUGAGAUGUGGCCAUCUUUCCACAACUUCACAUUGCUCGUCUCGUCUUCUCCAGCUUCGAUUCAUCUCCCAAAAAUUCUCCAUCUGCAGAAAGCUUGAAGCCACAACAACUCAUCCCUGAUCGAAGGAAGGUAUACAAGAGUGGAUAUGUGGCAAUGGCUCUCAUUUUGUGCUUUUGUUAAGGGGAUGAUCAUAUCAUUAUGAUAUACUAUCCAAGCUCAGCUGGCGGAGGUAUGAAAGAAUUAUUUAGGAAGUGACGUUGACCUCACUACUUGCACUUCCUGCAGACCAAUUGCCCGUGGAAGCUUUAGAACGUCUCUUCAGGGCUACCCUUGAUCUCCUAGUUGCACAAAAACAUUAAGUUGCCAGUCUUUUGUGUCACCUCUGUCUCAUGCUAUAUGUUAUUUUAACAAUUACUCAUUAUUUUUGUCUGUCAUGGACUUAUUCUGCAAAGGAAGAAGAGGCUGAAGAUGAUGAUGAUAUGAAUGGUUUCCAAACUGAUAUUGAAGAUGAUGAUGGUGAUGGGUCAGACAAAGAAAUGGGCGUUGAUGCUGAGGAUGGAGAUUAAACUGACAGCAUUAAACUUAAAAAAUUAGCUGUACAGGUGUGUACAUUAUUGUAUAGUUUUGAAUGUGUUUUCUGGUCAAACACAUUCUGGUAAACCUAAGACAUAUAUUAUCAUAUGGAGAAAUCUAUGAGCUUGCCUUUA